CAGCAGCCGCGGUAAUACGUAGGGUGCAAGCGUUAAUCGGAAUUACUGGGCGUAAAGCGUGCGCAGGCGGUCCGCUAAGACAGAUGUGAAAUCCCCGGGCUUAACCUGGGAACUGCAUUUGUGACUGGCGGGCUAGAGUAUGGCAGAGGGGGGUAGAAUUCCACGUGUAGCAGUGAAAUGCGUAGAGAUGUGGAGGAAUACCGAUGGCGAAGGCAGCCCCCUGGGCCAAUACUGACGCUCAUGCACGAAAGCGUGGGGAGCAAACAGGAUUAGAUACCCCUGUAGUCCCUGUCUCUUAUAC
rnacentral:rRNA from 1 species